rnacentral:rRNA from 1 species
AUACCCCAUAGGCCGAGAGGUUAAAGGCAGCGAUGCGCGGCAGGAGGAGCUCGUGUCCUAUCAGCUAGUUGGUGAGGUAACGGCUCACCAAGGCUUCGACGGGUAGCCGGCCUGAGAGGGUGACCGGCCACACUGGAACUGAGACACGGUCCAGACUCCUACGGGAGGCAGCAGUGGGGAACAUUGGGCAAUGGGAGAAAUCCUGACCCAGCGACGCCGCGUGAACGAAGACGGCCUUCGGGUUGUAAAGUUCUUCUAUGUGGGAAGAAUAAAGUGACGGUACCACAUGAAUAAGCCACGGCUAACUACGUGCCAGCAGCCGCGGUAAUACGUAGGGGGCGAGCGUUGUCCGGAAUUACUGGGCGUAAAGGGCACGCAGGCCGUGCUUCAAGUCAGCUGUAAAAGGAUGCGGCUUAACCGUGUUAUGCGGCUGAGACUGAGGUGCUGGAGUACCGGAGAGGCGAGUGGAAUUCCCAGUGUAGCGGUGAAAUGCGUAGAUAUUGGGAAGAACAUCGGUGGCGAAGGCGACUUGCUGGACGGUAACUGACGCUGAGGUGCGAAAGCCAGGGUAGCGAACGGGAUUAGAUACCCCGGUAGUCCUGGCCGUAAACGAUGAAUGCUAGGUGUGCGAGCAGAGAUGUUGGCGUGC